rnacentral:lncRNA from 1 species
ACUAGGAGAAGAGCCUGAUCCGUUUUGGUUUGCUGUAGAGGAUGGUGGAGCCAACCAAGGAAUACUCCAUGGACCAGGCACAUUGCAAUUCCAAUAAGGUGGAGGGCAGAAUGGCAUAGGAAAUGCCGCAGGGUUCAUGGCUGGGAAAGGAACAGCUGCAUAUGGGAAAGGCCAAGGUACUCCUGGGAGGCAAGGCACUGGAGACAUGGCUGGGAAAGGAACAGCAGCAUAUGGGAAAGGCCAAGGUACUCCUGGGAGGCAAGGCACUGGAGAUGGGAAGCCAUUCAUAUUUUGCAUAAGUGCCUCAGGAGGCCGAUUUUUACCUCCUUCCGUCAUCGAAUUUGUGGUGACUGAAGACCCACUAGAGCAGUCAUCCACAUUUUCU